rnacentral:tRNA from 1 species
ACACUGAUAGUUCAGUGGUAGAAUUCUCACCUUCCAUGUGGGAAACCUGGGUUUGACUCCCAGCCAAUGCA